GCAACUAGUGAUCAUGCUCUUGAAAGAGGUCAUGAAGAUGUCAUUCACUUGUUGAAUGGAAUGGCAGAUUUUGAUUAUCAUUGGCAUUUGGACCCUUCACUACAGGGCUGGAGUCACCAAUAUCCCCCAUACGAUAACCAACCCAAUAUUUCACACAAACCAUUUGAGUUUGAAGAAGAGAAGGGAGUAGGACAUGAAAAGGCAGAAGAUAAAUUUGAAAAUCACUUUAACCAAUUAUUGAAGAUUCA
rnacentral:misc_RNA from 1 species